UGAGCAAUCUGCCCUUCUCAUCGGAAUAAGCGUUGGAAACGACGUCUAAUGCCGAAUACGACCUCCUUUCGCAUGAUCGGAGGUGGAAAGCUCCGGCGGAGAAGGAUGAGCUCGCGGCCUAUCAGCUAGUUGGUGAGGUAACGGCCCACCAAGGCUACGACGGGUAGCUGGUCUGAGAGGAUGAUCAGCCUCACUGGGACUGAGACACGGCCCAGAUCCCGUACGGGG
rnacentral:rRNA from 1 species